rnacentral:rRNA from 1 species
ACGCUGGCGGCGUGCUUAACACAUGCAAGUCGAACGAAAAGAGGGAAAGAGCUUGCUCUUUCCGGAAUUGAGUGGCAAACGGGUGAGUAACACGUAAACAACCUGCCUUCAGGAUGGGGACAACAGACGGAAACGACUGCUAAUACCGAAUAAGUUCCAAGAGCCGCAUGGCCCAUGGAAGAAAAGGUGGCCUCUACCUGUAAGCUGUCGCCUGAAGAGGGGUUUGCGUCUGAUUAGCUGGUUGGAGGGGUAACGGCCCACCAAGGCGGCGAUCAGUAGCCGGUCUGAGAGGAUGAACGGCCACACUGGAACUGAGACACGGUCCAGACUCCUACGGGAGGCAGCAGUGGGGAAUCUUCCGCAAUGGGCGAAAGCCUGACGGAGCAACGCCGCGUGAGUGAUGACGGCCUUCGGGUUGUAAAACUCUGUGAUCCGGGACGAAAAGGCAGAGUGCGAAGAACAAACUGCAUUGACGGUACCGGAAAAGCAAGCCACGGCUAACUACGUGCCAGCAGCCGCGGUAAUACGUAGGUGGCAAGCGUUGUCCGGAAUUAUUGGGCGUAAAGCGCGCGCAGGCGGCUUCCCAAGUCCCUCUUAAAAGUGCGGGGCUUAACCCCGUGAUGGGAAGGAAACUGGGAAGCUGGAGUAUCGGAGAGGAAAGUGGAAUUCCUAGUGUAGCGGUGAAAUGCGUAGAGAUUAGGAAGAACACCGGUGGCGAAGGCGACUUUCUGGACGAAAACUGACGCUGAGGCGCGAAAGCGUGGGGAGCAAACAGGAUUAGAUACCCUGGUAGUCCACGCCGUAAACGAUGGAUACUAGGUGUAGGAGGUAUCGACCCCUCCUGUGCCGGAGUUAACGCAAUAAGUAUCCCGCCUGGGAAGUACGAUCGCAAGAUUAAAACUCAAAGGAAUUGACGGGGG